GUGGUAGCUCAGUGGGAGAGUACAUGGCUUACAUGCAUGAGAUCCUGGGUUUGAUUCCUGAUACCACA
rnacentral:tRNA from 1 species